rnacentral:rRNA from 1 species
GAUGAACGCUGGCGGCGUGCCUAAUACAUGCAAGUCGAGCGAACGGACGAGAAGCUUGCUUCUCUGAUGUUAGCGGCGGACGGGUGAGUAACACGUGGAUAACCUACCUAUAAGACUGUGAUAACUUCGGGAAACCGGAGCUAAUACCGGAUGAUAUUUUGAACCGCAUGGUUCAAAAGUGAAAGACGGUCUUGCUGUCACUUAUAGAUGGAUCCGCGCUGCAUUAGCUAGUUGGUAAGGUAACGGCUUACCAAGGCAACGAUGCAUAGCCGACCUGAGAGGGUGAUCGGCCACACUGGAACUGAGACACGGUCCAGACUCCUACGGGAGGCAGCAGUAGGGAAUCUUCCGCAAUGGGCGAAAGCCUGACGGAGCAACGCCGCGUGAGUGAUGGAGGUCUUCGGAUCGUAAAACUCUGUUAUUAGGGAAGAACAUAUGUGUAAGUAACUGUGCACAUCUUGACGGUACCUAAUCAGAAAGCCACGGCUAACUACGUG